AAAAAACUAGAAGAAAUAGUAAUUAAUGUGUAUCUACAUAUAUAUUUUUGCAGCCAUUUUGUGAAAUAAAUCCUAUAGUUGGAACUUAUUUACAAUAGGUGCCACUGGAUUUUAAUGUUUGUUUUUGAUAAUUAGAAAAAAAUCUUCAAAUUAAAUAUUUGACAUUUAACAAUCUUCCCUAAAUCUCUCCACAUUAACUACACGAUUAGUUACUAAAAUAAAACUUCCAAAAUAUUUAAUAUCAUUUAAUUACUACAAAAUAAAUGGUUUUUUUACGGGACGGAUUGGUGGGACGGGUUUGACAGGACGUUACUUAAUAACAAUUGUAAACUAUAAAAUAAAAAUAUUUUAUAGAUAGAUACAAUUUGCAAACUUUAUGUAUACUAACUUUAGAAAAUAAAUUGUUUCCGCGGUGUACCGCGGGUUAAAAUCUAGUUUUGUAAUACAACCGUAGUUUGUUGUUUCCAAAAUGUUGUUCGCAUUGUGUAUAAUGAUAGCUUAUUGUCUAAUUGUUGUGAUCUGCUUCUUUUUUCAUGUUUUUAUUUUUACUUUUGAGUUAUACAUAUAGAUUAACAUAUAUGUCAAUGUUUUUUAACCCGACUCGCACGAUGAACCGGACUACUUUCGUGAUCACCGGUUCAUUGAGUCAAUCCAGUUCGAUGACGGGUCAAUUUCUUAAAGUUUUUUUUAAUGUUACAGAGAUUAUAUAGUUUUUAUAUAUAAAAGAUAUAUCAUAUUUAACAAAGUAAUAUAUUUAACA
rnacentral:sRNA from 1 species